rnacentral:rRNA from 1 species
GACAUGGGAAGCUUGCUUCCUAUGAAAUCGAGUGGCAAACGGGUGAGUAACGCGUAAACAACCUGCCCUUCGGAUGGGGAUAACAGCCGGAAACGGCUGCUAAUACCGAAUACGAUCUUUUCGUCGCAUGACGGAAAGAAGAAAGGAUGGCCUCUAUACAAAGCUAUCGCCGAAGGAGGGGUUUGCGUCUGAUUAGCUGGUUGGAGGGGUAACGGCCCAACAAGGCGAUGAUCAGUAGCCGGUCUGAGAGGAUGAACGGCCACAUUGGGACUGAGACACGGCCCAGACUCCUACGGGAGGCAGCAGUGGGGAAUCUUCCGCAAUGGACGAAAGUCUGACGGAGCAACGCCGCGUGAGUGAAGAAGGUCUUCGGAUUGUAAAACUCUGUUAUACGGGACGAAAAAGACGGAUGCCAACAGUAUCCGUCCGUGACGGUACC